rnacentral:rRNA from 1 species
CCUACGGGUGGCAGCAGUGAGGAAUAUUGGUCAAUGGGCGUAAGCCUGAACCAGCCAAGUCGCGUGAGGGAUGAAGGUUCUAUGGAUCGUAAACCUCUUUUAUAAGGGAAUAAAGUGUGGGACGUGUCCUUUUUUGUAUGUACCUUAUGAAUAAGGAUCGGCUAACUCCGUGCCAGCAGCCGCGGUAAUACGGAGGAUCCGAGCGUUAUCCGGAUUUAUUGGGUUUAAAGGGUGCGUAGAGGGCCUUUUAAGUCAGCGGUGAAAGUCUGCGGCUCAACCAUAGAAUUGCCGUUGAUACUGGGAGUCUUGAGUAUGUUUGAGGCAAGCGGAAUGCGUGGUGUAGCGGUGAAAUGCUUAGAUAGCACGAAGAACCCCGAUUGCGAAGGCAGCCUACCAAGCCAUGACUGACGCUGAUGCACGAAAGCGUGGGGAUCAAACAGGAUUAGAUACCCCAGUAGUC